AUGAUUAUCCUUGUCCCGCAAGGGGACGUGGAGGCUACGGCCGAAGCGGAUCUGCUAAAACAAAAGCCAAGAAAAUCUCCGGCGUAUACUAAGGCGCCCGUACCGUAAACCGACACAGGUGGGUGGGUAGAGUAUACCCAGGCGCGUGAGUGAAACCUCGUUAAGGAACUCUGCAAUCUAGCCCCGUAACUUCGGAAGAAGGGGUGCCGUCGCAAGACGGUCGCAGUGAAAUGGGUCAACCGACUGUUCAACAAAAACACAGCACUCUGCUAAGUCGCAAGACGACGUAUAGGGUGUGACACGUGACCAAUGCGGAAAGAUUACGGUAAGAGGUUAGCCGCAAGCGAAGCUUUGAGCCCAAGUCCCCGUGAAUGUCGGCCGUAACGAUAACGGUCCUAAGGUAGCGAAAUUCCUUGUCGGGUAAGUUCCGACCUGCACGAAUCGUGUAACGAGUUGACCGCUGUCUCAACGAGGAGCUCAGCGAAGUUGUAAUUGCGGUGAAGAUGCCGCAUACCCGCAGCAGGACGGAAAGACCCUAUGCACCUUUACUGUACGCUGUUACUGUUGUUUCGAUUUUGAUGCUUAGCGUAAGUGGGAGACUUUGAUUCGCGCCUUUCGGGGCGUGAUGAGUCGCCAAUGAAACACCACCCUUCGACGUUGGAACAACUAACCCGAGCCCAUAAUCUGGGUCGGGGACACUGGCAGCCGGUCAGUUUUACUGGGGCGGUAUCCUCCUAAAGAGUAACGGAGGAGUACGAAGUUUGGCUCAGCCUGGUUGGUAAUCAGGUGUCGAGUAUAUGGAUAUAAGCCAGACUAACUGCGAGACCUACAAGUCGAGCAGAUGCGAAAGCAGGUCCAAGUGAUCCGGUGGUUGAAUGUGGAAUUGCCAUCGCUCAACGGACAAAAGGUACGCUAGGGAUAACAGGCUGAUCGAGUCCAAGAGCUCAUAUCGACGACUCGGUUUGGCACCUCGAUGUCGGCUCAUCACAUCCUGGGGCUGGAGAAGGUCCCAAGGGUCCGGCUGUUCGCCGGUUAAAGUGGUACGCGAGCUGGGUUCAGAACGUCGCGAGACAGUUCGGUCCUUAUCCGCUGUGGGCGCAGGAGAAUUGAGGGGUUCAGACCUUAGUACGAGAGGACCGGGUCUGACGAACCACUGGUGUUCCAGUUGUCGUGUCAACGGCAUUGCUGGGUAGCUAUGUUCGGAAAGGAUAAGCGCUGAAAGCAUCUAAGCGCCAAGCCUCUCCCAAGAUGAAUUCUCCCCGAAGAUUCGUGGUAGACCACCACGUUGAUAGGCCACGGGUGUAAGCGAUCCGGGUGAACCGGCUUAGCUUAGUGGUACUAAUAAAUCGUUCGGCUUGGUCAU
rnacentral:rRNA from 1 species